rnacentral:rRNA from 1 species
UACGGAGGAUGCGAGCGUUAUCCGGAUUUAUUGGGUUUAAAGGGUGCGUAGGCGGGAUGCCAAGUCAGCGGUAAAAAUGCGGUGCUCAACGCCGUCGAGCCGUUGAAACUGACGUUCUUGAGUGGGCGAGAAGUAUGCGGAAUGCGUGGUGUAGCGGUGAAAUGCAUAGAUAUCACGCAGAACUCCGAUUGCGAAGGCAGCAUACCGGCGCCCUACUGACGCUGAGGCACGAAAGCGUGGGUAUCGAACAGG